AGUCGAACGCAUCUCUUCGGGGAUGAGUGGCGGACGGGUGAGUAACGCGUGAGAAUCUGCCUAAUGGACUGGGACAACCACUGGAAACGGUGGCUAAUACCAGAUAUGCAGUAAGUGAAAAGGUUAAUUCCGCCAUUAGAUGAGCUCGCGUCAGAUUAGCUAGUUGGUGAGGUAACGGCUUACCAAGGCAACGAUCUGUAGCUGGUUUGAGAGGACGACCAGCCACACUGGGACUGAGACACGGCCCAGACUCCUACGGGAGGCAGCAGUGAGGAAUUUUCCGCAAUGGGCGAAAGCCUGACGGAGUAAUACCGCGUGCGGGAGGAAGGUCUAUUGACUGUAAACCGCUUUUAUUAAGAAAGAAUUCUGACGGUACUUAAUGAAUAAGCCUCGGCUAACUCCGUGCCAGCAGCCGCGGUAAUACGGAGGAGGCAAGCGUUAUCCGGAAUUAUUGGGCGUAAAGCGUCCGUAGGUGGUUUUGUAAGUCUGCUGUCAAAGCACAGGGCUUAACCCUGUAAAGGCAGUGGAAACUGCAAAACUCGAGUGCUCUAGGGGCAGAGGGAAUUCCCAGUGUAGCGGUGAAAUGCGUAGAGAUUGGGAAGAACACCCGUGGCGAAAGCGCUCUGCUGGAGAGCAACUGACAUUGAGGGACGAAAGCUAGGGGAGCGAAUGGGAUUAGAUACCCCAGUAGUCCUAGCCGUAAACGAUGGAUACUAGAUGUUGUCUG
rnacentral:rRNA from 1 species